AUUGAACGCUGGCGGCAUGCUUUACACAUGCAAGUCGAACGGCAGCACGGGUGCUUGCACCUGGUGGCGAGUGGCGAACGGGUGAGUAAUGCAUCGGAACGUGCCCAUGAGUGGGGGAUAGCCCGGCGAAAGCCGGAUUAAUACCGCAUACGCCCUUAGGGGGAAAGCGGGGGAUCUUCGGACCUCGCGCUAUUGGAGCGGCCGAUGUCGGAUUAGCUAGUAGGUGAGGUAAAGGCUCACCUAGGCGACGAUCCGUAGCUGGUCUGGGAGGAUGAUCAGCCACACUGGGACUGAGACACGGCCCAGACUCCUACGGGAGGCAGCAGUGGGGAAUUUUGGACAAUGGGCGCAAGCCUGAUCCAGCCAUGCCGCGUGAGUGAAGAAGGCCUCGGUUGUAAG
rnacentral:rRNA from 1 species